rnacentral:rRNA from 1 species
UACGUAGGGUGCAAGCGUUAAUCGGAAUUACUGGGCGUAAAGCGUGCGCAGGCGGUUCUUUAAGUCAGAUGUGAAAUCCCCGGGCUCAACUUGGGAACUGCAUUUGUGACUGUAGAGCUGGAGUGCGGCAGAGGGGGAUGGAAUUCCGUGUGUAGCAGUGAAAUGCGUAGAUAUGCGGAGGAACACCGAUGGCGAAGGCAAUCCCCUGGGCCUGCACUGACGCUCAUGCACGAAAGCGUGGGGAGCAAACAGG